rnacentral:lncRNA from 1 species
UGGAGCGUGUCUGCUCAUUUAAGAAGUGAUGGGACAGGCAGCUGAACCUGUUUCUCUUCUUUCAGGUGGAUCCCUCAAGCCACAGCCUCAACGAAGGAUGGAAAAUGGGAACAGAAAAAGGGGAGCUCUCCUGGAGAUAGUGCCUGCUUCUCUCCCCACCCCCAUGCCUUCUUUCCGAGAAUGAGGAGUUUUGACCUCAGUGCAAAUACUUUAUUUCUGAGCUCUUACUUGUUCUAUUGUGGUUCAUGGGAACUGAGCUGGGGAUUCUGGGACUGGGGAGAAUCAGGAGAGAGGUGGCCACCAGGAUGUAGUCCUUUAGGAUGAAGCCCAGUGCAAGAAGGGAGUCCGUGUGGUGAACUGUAUGCAGCGAGGGAUUGUAGAUGAGGAGGCCCUGCUGCAUGCCCUCGCAGUCAGACCAGUGUGGUGGGGCCACCCUGGAUGUGUUCACAGAAGUGAAUGCCCGGGCCCUCACCGCCUCCCUCUCCCCCAGCACCAAGCCCCCGAUUGGUCUGGCAGAAGCUCUGGGCACAUUGAUUGGAGCCAGGGUUGGGUCACCCGGAGGAACCAUCCCUGUAGUGACACAGGGUGGGCCCAGACUCUGCUUAAUCUAUAGCAGAAGCAGCUGGGUGGAACCAUUCCCUUGAUAUGAAUACUGCUGCUACUGAAAUGGACUGUUUAAAUACUGUAAACUGUCUAAAAUAUUUAACAUCUCUGUGAUUUCACAAGCAGUGAAGGACAAAGGCUGGGCUUCAGGGUUAAGGUGGGCUUGCUUCUGGGAAAUUGUUGAAAGGACUUUAUAGUGGAAAACUUGGACCUGGCUUUGGUGGUGACAGAGUAAUUGGUUUUAUUACUCAUCAAGGAGCUGUGAAAUGAAAUAAACUUGGUGUGGGUAAACUUGGGCA